rnacentral:rRNA from 1 species
CGGAGUAACGCCGCGUGAGUGAUGAAGGCUUCGGGUCGUAAAACUCUGUUGUUAGGGAAGAACAAGUACGAGAGUAACUGCUCGUACCUUGACGGUACCUAACCAGAAAGCCACGGCUAACUACGUGCCAGCAGCCGCGGUAAUACGUAGGUGGCAAGCGUUAUCCGGAAUUAUUGGGCGUAAAGCGCGCGCAGGCGGUUUCUUAAGUCUGAUGUGAAAGCCCACGGCUCAACCGUGGAGGGUCAUUGGAAACUGGGGAACUUGAGUGCAGAAGAGAAAAGCGGAAUUCCACGUGUAGCGGUGAAAUGCGUAGAGAUGUGGAGGAACACCAGUGGCGAAGGCGGCUUUUUGGUCUGUAACUGACGCUGAGGCGCGAAAGCGUGGGAGCAAACAGGAUUAGAUACCCUGGUAGUCCACGCCGUAAACGAUGAGUGCUAAGUGUUAGAGGGUUUCCGCCCUUUAGUGCUGCAGCUAACGCAUUAAGCACUCCGCCUGGGGAGUACGGUCGCAAGACUG